GACGAACGCUGGCGGCGUGCUUAACACAUGCAAGUCGAACGGAAAGGCCCUGUUUGCAGGGUACUCGAGUGGCGACCGGGGGAGUAACACGUGGGUAAUUUGCCCUGAACUUCGGGAUAAGCCGGGGAAACUGGGUCAAAUACCGGAUAGGAGCCAUUUUUAGGUUGUGGGUUGGAAAGUUUUUUGGGUGUAGGAUGAGCUCGCGGCCUAUCAGCUUGUUGGUGGGGUAAUGGCCUACCAAGGCGGCGACGGGUAGCCGGCCUGAGAGGGUGGACGGCCACAUUGGGACUGAGAUACGGCCCAGACUCCUACGGGAGGCAGCAGUGGGGAAUAUUGCACAAUGGGCGCAAGCCUGAUGCAGCGACGCCGCGUGGGGGAUGACGGCCUUCGGGUUGUAAACUCCUUUCGCUAGGGACGAAGCUUUUUGUGACGGUACCUAGAUAAGAAGCACCGGCUAACUACGUG
rnacentral:rRNA from 1 species